rnacentral:rRNA from 1 species
AUGUUUCCGGCGGAGGCGUCGUUCGCCGGCGCGGAAGCGGCCAUGCUGCCGCCCUUCUUCGUGGGCUCCAUGUGGCAGUCGGCGCCAGGCGGCGGCGCGGCUGCCUUGUCCGAGGAGGACGAGGUAGCCGCCGCUGCGGCUGCCGAGGCAGCGCACGACCGCGCGGUGGCGGCGACGCGGAACCACCGCGAGGCCGAGAAGCGCCGCCGCGAGCGGAUCAAGUCGCACCUCGACCGCCUCCGCGCCGUCCUCGCCUGCGACCCCAAGAUAGACAAGGCAACGCUGCUGGCCAAGGCGGUGGAGAGGGUGCGGGAGCUGAAGCAGCGCAUGGACGGCGUCGUUGGCGAGGCGGCGGCGCCGGCGAGCCACCUGUUCCCCACGGAGCACGACGAGAUCGUGGUGCUCGCGUCGGGAGGCGGCGCCGGCGGCGCGGCGGCCGUGUUUGAGGCCUCCGUCUGCUGCGACGACCGCUCCGACCUCCUCCCGGGCCUCAUCGACACGCUGCGCGCGCUCCGCCUCCGCACGCUCCGCGCCGAGAUGGCCACCCUCGGCGGCCGCGUCCGCAACGUGCUCGUCCUCGCGCGCGACGCCGGAGGACACGCCGACGACGACUACUCCACAUCCUCCGAGGACGGCGGCGCCGACUUCCUCAAGGAGGCCCUGAGGGCCCUCGUGGAGAGGCAGGGGGCUGCCGCCGGCGACCGGCCCAAGAGGAGACGCGUCGCCGACAUGAACAUGCAAGCGGCUGCUUAA